ensembl:lncRNA
GAGGAGGCGGGCCCGGCCGGCCCCCCGGGCCGUCCCCCUGUGCUCGUCCCGCCUGGCCCGGGGGACGCGGCUGCAGGCGCGGCGCGAGCGCCUGCAGGCUCGGCUCUGGGGCGCUGUCGCUGCUGCCUGUCCCCGCCCCGACCCCAGGGUUCCCUGGAGCGCUCAGAGGCCUGCUGGCCCCGCCGCUGUGCCACCCUGCGUUACCACGGGAGCCAAAACAGGUCCCAAGCCCCGGGAUCGUGGGGCUUCAGCUGUAGCGGGGAAGACAGACAGACAAGCAAGUAUCAGUCAUUGCAGUGAGUGCUAGAAGGACCGGCCCAGAGCUGACGCCAUCUACCAGAGACCUCUGUCUAUCCCCGGGUCCCAGGGGCCCGUGCAGGGAAGCGAUGUUUGAGCUGAGACUUGAAGGAGUAAGGGGGAGGAAGAGGGUCUGGUGAGGUCGGAGGAGACCCUCUACACCUUAGUAAGAUUGCUUUAUCCUUAACCGAAGAUGCAUGCAAAGCUACUGAAGGAUUUUAAGCCCAGCAAUCACCGUAAGAGCAGACAUUUAUUUGGAAUUUACAUGACUCUAAGCACUGUACAUGGAAUAACAAUGACAAUAGCAAAUCUGCUUAAUAUGUGCCAAGCACUUUGCAGAUGUGAAGUCAUUUAGUCUUCAUAGCAGCCUUUCCACCAUGUGCAAGUGUAAAAUCCUCAUUUUGCAGAAGAGGAAACUGAGGCACAGACUCUCUGAGGUCGGGGAUUCUACCACAGAGUUCUGCACUGUGCCUUACUGAAACGAGUGCUGGAUUUGCAGUAAAAAUUGAAUUUGAAUUCGACCUCUACUAGGCCUUAUAAAGCUGUGAAGUACCUACUUCAGGAUGGUACUCAGCGUGAAUGCUCUAAGCAGUCUGAGCCACACAACGGAGCCGUAAAAUAGCUGACCCUGGACUUUCUCCAUGGAGAUAUGAAGAGACUCAAGCAUUCUAGAAAGCGUUUGGUUGGUUUUUGUUUGAUAUAUAUAAAAAGAUUAGAGGCAGCAAGAGAAGAGAAUCAGAGAGAACCUACGCAUGGAUUUUUUUAAAAAUACAAAAUAGAUUUUACAGCAGAAGUAGAUAGAAGUGGUGCAAAUAAUGAUUUCUCCUCCUCUGAUAUCAGGCUUUGUUGAGCUCCCGGAAAAGCAAACACAUAAUUAUAAUGGAGGUAAAUGGACUGAAAGCCAAGUCAAAGAGGCAGAUCGGCUUCACCAGGAGAGGCACUCACUUCUGCAAAGACAGCAGGAUAAAGAGAACUAGCCUCUCGACCUGGACAAGAGGUGCCUACAACCGUGGGCUGAAAGAGUGUGGAGAACUGUUGACACUGCAGGCAAAAAGAAUGUUAUCAAAGUUCUGUUCAAGUCAAAGGCCUGACACGGAGGCUAAGGAGAGCUCACUGCCUCAAAGAAGAGCCUGCCUGGAGAGAUUUCUUCACGCUACAAACCUCUGUAAAUGUCCUUUCAACGAUUCUGUUUAAAAAAAAAAGGAAUAACCUUAGAUCAAAGUUAGGGCAAGAGUUUCCACAACAGCGAAGCCCACAAUGCCGCAAGGGGGAGAUUAGAGUGAAAUUUUUACGUGAAAAUGUUUCAAGUAUUUAGAAGCUCUUAUGGAAGUAAAAAACACCACAAUGGACAAAUGAUGUGAAUAAAAAUUCACAGAAGAGGUAGCAGUGGCCAAUAAAUAAGAAAAAGGAGGGUUAGCUUCAUUGAUUGCAUUAAAGAAAUGCAAAAUAGGGGUUGACCCUGUGGCCUAGUGGUUAAGUUUGGUGUGCUCCGCUUAGGCUGCCUGGGUUCGUGGGUUCAGAUCCCAGGCACAGACCUACACCACUUGUCAGCCAUGCUGCGGCAGCAUCCCACAUAUAAAGUAGAGGAAGAUUGGCAUAGAUGUUAGCUCAGGGCUAAUCUUCCUCAGCAAAAAACAGAAAGAAAGAAAGAAAUACAAAAUAAAACCAAAGACAAUAUUACCUAUUAAAGUUGCAUGUUUUUAAAUAAAUAAAAGUUCUCAAUGUGGGUAGAAUGGUGGGGAAAUGAGUACUCUUCUAUCCUGUUGGUGGAAUUGUUAGAUCUUUCUAGAGGACAAUUUGGCAACAUAUAUCCAAAGCCUAAAAGAGUUUAAAUCCUCUAGCCUAAUAAUUUUAUUUCUAGGGAU